CCUACGGGUGGCUGCAGUGGGGAAUAUUGCACAAUGGGCGGAAGCCUGAUGCAGCAACGCCGCGUGCGGGAUGAAGGCCUUCGGGUUGUAAACCGCUUUCAGUAGGGACGAAUGUGACGGUACCUACAGAAGAAGCACCGGCUAACUACGUGCCAGCAGCCGCGGUGAUACGUAGGGUGCGAGCGUUGUCCGGAUUUAUUGGGCGUAAAGAGCUCGUAGGCGGUUUGUUGCGUCGGAAGUGAAAACACGGGGCUUAACUUCGUGCUUGCUUUCGAUACGGGCAGACUUGAGGAAGGUAGGGGAGAACGGAAUUCCUGGUGGAGCGGUGGAAUGCGCAGAUAUCAGGAGGAACACCGGUGGCGAAGGCGGUUCUCUGGACCUUUCCUGACGCUGAGGAGCGAAAGCGUGGGGAGCAAACAGGCUUAGAUACCCUGGUAGUC
rnacentral:rRNA from 1 species